rnacentral:tRNA from 1 species
GCCCCUGUGGCGGAACUGGUAGACGCGGCAGACUCAAAAUCUGUUGCCUUCGGGCGUGCUGGUUCGAUUCCGGCCAGGGGCACCA